AUUGAACGCUGGCGGCAUGCUUUACACAUGCAAGUCGAGCGGCAGCGCGGGGGCGACCCUGGCGGCGAGCGGCGAACGGGUGAGUAAUGCAUCGGAACGUACCCUGGAGUGGGGGAUAACGCCGCGAAAGCGGCGCUAAUACCGCAUAUGCUCUGAGGAGGAAAGUGGGGGACCCGCAAGGGCUCCACGCUCUGGGAGCGGCCGAUGUCCGAUUAGCUCGUUGGUGGGGCAAAGGCUUACCAAGGCGACGAGCGGUAGCUGGUCUGAGAGGAUGAUCAGCCACACUGGGACUGAGACACGGCCCAGACUCCUACGGGAGGCAGCAGUGGGGAAUUUUGGACAAUGGGGGCAACCCUGAUCCAGCCAUGCCGCGUGAGUGAAGAAGGCCUUCGGGUUGUAAAGCUCUUUUGGUCGGGAAGAAAGUGCCCUGCUUAAUACGCGGGGUAUUUGACGGUACCGGCAGAAUAAGCACCGGCUAACUACGUGCCAGCCGCCGCCGUAAAAC
rnacentral:rRNA from 1 species